rnacentral:rRNA from 1 species
GACGAACGCUGGCGGCGUGCCUAAUACAUGCAAGUAGAACGCACAGUUUAUACCGUAGCUUGCUACACCAUAGACUGUGAGUUGCGAACGGGUGAGUAACGCGUAGGUAACCUGCCUGGUAGCGGGGGAUAACUAUUGGAAACGAUAGCUAAUACCGCAUAAUAUUGAUUAUUGCAUGAUAAUUAAUUUAAAGGUGCAAUUGCACCACUACCAGAUGGACCUGCGUUGUAUUAGCUAGUAGGUGAGGUAACGGCUCACCUAGGCGACGAUACAUAGCCGACCUGAGAGGGUGAUCGGCCACACUGGGACUGAGACACGGCCCAGACUCCUACGGGAGGCAGCAGUAGGGAAUCUUCGGCAAUGGACGAAAGUCUGACCGAGCAACGCCGCGUGAGUGAAGAAGGUUUUCGGAUCGUAAAGCUCUGUUGUAAGAGAAGAACGGGUGUGAGAGUGGAAAGUUCACACUGUGACGGUAUCUUAACAGAAAGGGACGGCUAACUACGUG